UGUGGGAUAGACAAAGAACUGUACAUUC
rnacentral:piRNA from 1 species